rnacentral:rRNA from 1 species
GAUGAACGCUAGCGACAGGCUUAACACAUGCAAGUCGAGGGGCAGCAUGGUCUUAGCUUGCUAAGGCCGAUGGCGACCGGCGCACGGGUGAGUAACACGUAACCAACCUGCCGUCUACUCUUUGACAGCCUUCUGAAAGGAAGAUUAAUACAAGAUGGCAUCAUGAGUCCGCAUGUUCACAUGAUUAAAGGUAUUCCGGUAGACGAUGGGGAUGCGUUCCAUUAGAUAGUAGGCGGGGUAACGGCCCACCUAGCGUUCGAUGGAUAGGGGUUCUGAGAGGAAGGUCCCCCACAUUGGAACUGCGACCCGGUCCACACUCCUACGGGAGGCAGCAGUGAGGAAUACUGGUCAAUGAGCGCGAGCCUGAACCAGCCAAGUAGCGUGAAGGACGACUGCCCUAUGGGUUGUAAACUUCUUUUAUAAAGGAAUCAAGUCGGGUAUGGAUCCCAGUUUGCAUGUACUUUAUGAAUAAGGAUCGGCUAACUCCGUG